GCCCAGACAAGCAGGCAGGUAACAGAUAAGAUUGAAAGCCUUGUGGUAGAACUGAGAAAAAGGCUGUAAGUACUGGAAAUCUAAGUCCUUAAGCAUACUUACAAGAGUAAUAUCUGAAACAAGGCCAGUUUUUAUUUUAGAGAUAAGAAAGUGUUUUAAGAAAAGAGAAUCAGAGAAUUUAAACUCUGCAGAGAAUGGAGAGCAAAUGCAGUUGUGCAAAUGCUAAAAUGGUGUAGAUAGAAAACUGUGGUUUCUUUACAGUCAUUCUGAAGGAAAAAUGGGCCCUUUGUCCAAAGGAAUGUCUGUAAAUAACCCAGGCAAAUUUGACUCAAAUCUGAACAUUUGAUUAUAGAUACUGCUAAAAGAACUCUAAAGGGAGGGAGUUCUAUUGGAACUGAACUACCCCAAUGAAUAAAAAGGGAAUGUAAUUGUUGUACAGCUAUGUAGAAAUAGUGUAAGAAAGAGUUACACUAUAUGCAAAGUUUAAUGUGGCUAAGUAGUGUUGUAAACAAAGAUUGCACAUUUUCCUGUAAACUAUAGAAUGAGUAAAAAAAAAAACUGCAGACAGAUUAAAAUGCUGUGAAAGCUCCAGGAGCCACACCAGGUUGUGAUUUCCUUUGUGGUGCAAAUGCCCUAGCUGGCAGCACAAAGAAGCUUUGCAGGUAAUAGCUAAGUUUGAUUAGCAAACUACCUGAGACCAGAAAG